UGGCUCAGAUUGAACGCUGGCGGCAGGCUUAACACAUGCAAGUCGAGCGGUAACAGGAGAAGCUUGCUUCUCGCUGACGAGCGACGGACGGGUGAGUAAUACUUAUGAAUCUACCUAGUAGUGGGGGAUAGCUCGGGGAAACUCGAAUUAAUACCGCAUACGACCUACGGGAGAAAGGGGGCAACUUGUUGCUCUCGCUAUUAGAUGAGCCUAAGUCGGAUUAGCUAGAUGGUGGGGUAAAGGCCUACCAUGGCGACGAUCUGUAGCUGGUCUGAGAGGAUGAUCAGCCACACCGGGACUGAGACACGGCCCGGACUCCUACGGGAGGCAGCAGUGGGGAAUAUUGGACAAUGGGGGCAACCCUGAUCCAGCCAUGCCGCGUGUGUGA
rnacentral:rRNA from 1 species